rnacentral:rRNA from 1 species
ACCCUUAUUAACAAUGCUCAAUGAUUCAGCGGCGGACGGGUGAGUAAUGCCUAGGAAUCUGCCUGGUAGUGGGGGAUAACGUUUCGAAAGGAACGCUAAUACCGCAUACGUCCUACGGGAGAAAGUGGGGGAUCUUCGGACCUCACGCUAUCAGAUGAGCCUAGGUCGGAUUAGCUAGUUGGUGGGGUAAUGGCCCACCAAGGCGACGAUCCGUAACUGGUCUGAGAGGAUGAUCAGUCACACUGGAACUGAGACACGGUCCAGACUCCUACGGGAGGCAGCAGUGGGGAAUAUUGGACAAUGGGCGAAAGCCUGAUCCAGCCAUGCCGCGUGUGUGAAGAAGGUCUUCGGAUUGUAAAGCACUUUAAGUUGGGAGGAAGGGCAGUAAGUUAAUACCUUGCUGUUUUGACGUUACCAACAGAAUAAGCACCGGCUAACUUCGUGCCAGCAGCCGCGGUAAUACGAAGGGUGCAAGCGUUAAUCGGAAUUACUGGGCGUAAAGCGCGCGUAGGUGGUUCAGCAAGUUGGAUGUGAAAGCCCCGGGCUCAACCUGGGAAUUGCAUCCAAAACUACUGAGCUAGAGUACGGUAGAGGGUGGUGGAAUUUCCUGUGUAGCGGUGAAAUGCGUAGAUAUAGGAAGGAACACCAGUGGCGAAGGCGACCACCUGGACUGAUACUGACACUGAGGUGCGAAAGCGUGGGGAGCAAACAGGAUUAGAUACCCUGGUAGUCCACGCCGUAACGAUGUCGACUAGCCGUUGGGAUCCUUGAGAUCUUAGUGGCGCAGCUAACGCGAUAAGUCGACCGCCUGGGGAGUACGGCCGCAAGGUUAAAACUCAAAUGAAUUGACGGGGGGCCCGCACAAGCGGUGGAGCAUGUGGUUUAAUUUCGAAGCAACGCGAAGAACCUUACCUGGCCCUUGACAUGCAGAGAACUUUCCAGAGAUGGAUUGGUGCCUUCGGGAACUCUGACACAGUGCUGCAUGGCUGUCGUCAGCUCGUGUCGUGAGAUUGUUGGGUAAAGUCCCGUUAACGAGCGCAAACCCGGGUCUAGAUACCAGCACCUUCGGUGGCCACUCUAAGAGAACUGGCCCGGGUGACACAAA